rnacentral:rRNA from 4 species
GCGACCCCAGGAUGGGCGGGAUGACCCGCUGAGUUUAAGCAUAUC